ensembl:lncRNA
GGCUUACAUAGCACAUUGCAUGGGUUGAGUCAUUUGAUUGAAUAAUCAAUUGAAUUGAUUUAUGCCCCUAAUGCCCCAAACAGCCCCGAGCUCUCUGCCCUUGCCCAAGAGGAGUGAGUUCUGGACACUGGAAUGGCUCCCAUGCUCCUGACAGCCAGGUCUCCAUGCUGAUGGAUGCCAUGCUGAGUACCCUGGGAAGUGGGUGCUGUCCCAGAUGAGAACACUGGGACAAGCAGUGGUUUGGGAGAAAAGGCCUGAAAACUGGAUAUUCUGUGGACUCACAAAGGAUGGUCUCUGAGUUUCCAGUCUGAGAGGAAUCUGAGAUUGGGAUGUCAGAUUAGAAAGGCAGCAGAGCAUGGAGGAUAAAAAUCCUCAGCAAUCAUGCAAAAUCAAUCUCAAAAUCACCUCAAAAUCAUCAAAUCAUCCAAAAUCAUCUCAAAAUCAUCUCAAGAUCAUCCAAAAGGAAACUCCCAGUAAAACAAUGAGUUGUGCAGGUGAUAAAUGUGUCCAAAGCAUCAGUUUGGAAGCAAAUAUUUUUGUAAGAGAUAAUAGUAUUUCUAGGAAAGGAUCUUCCCAAAUACAACACACACAGAAAGAGAGGCAGGAGAACUUCACUUAAUCUUCAGAACCAAGGAAAGGUCAUAAAAUUUGCUCUGGGGAAAUAGUUUCUACAUCUAAAUCAGAUUUUAUUGCAUAUCAUAGAAUCUAUUCUGGAAAGAAACCUGGAUUGCCUAAUGAAUUUGAGAAAGCCAUCUAAGCCCAACCAUCAGUUCCCAUCAAAAAACAGGUCAUUGGAGAGAAUACUCAGUCUGGGAAGGCUUGCUCCAAAACCAGAAAAUUAAAUGAAAUUCACAGCAAAUUCACAAAGCACAGACACCUUCUAAAUAUAGUAUAGAUGAGAAAGCUUCCUACCACAAUUCAUCCCUUCCUUCCAAUCAAAAAAUUCACAUUGAGAAGAAAUCUUAUUUAUUUUUGAAGUCCUUCCUGCACCAGAAAAUCCCAAAUGGAGAAAAGCAUCAUGAAUGUAAUGAAUGUGAGAAGACUUUCAACCAGCCAUCAGAGAAUUCAUACUAGAGAGAAGCCUUAUGACUGCAAUGUGGGAAGGCCUUCUACCUGAAAGGACACUUAACCUCUUCCUUAUAAAUUGACCUACCUAGGACUCUUGGGACUUGUAUAAAGAAAGCUGUGCAGUAGAAAUAAGAAAUAAAGCAAUUAAACAGGGGUCCUCAAACUUUUUAAAUAGGGGGCCAGUUUACUGUCCCUCAGACUGUUGGAGGGCUGGACUACAGUAAAAACAAAACUUUGUUUUGUGGACCUUUAAAUGAAGAAACUUCAUAACCCUGGGGGAGGGGAAUAAUCAUCCUCAGGUGCUGCAUCUGGCCAAGGGCAGUAGUUUGAGGACCCCUGGACUAUUCAAUGGAUGAUGGGGGGAGGAGGGGAAUGUAAGCCUUCCCUACGUUGAUGAACUCCAAUUAAUUUUGUAUAUACUUUGCUUGUACAUGGUUAUUCCCACCCCUAUUAAUCUGGGAGUCCUUGAAAGCUGGUAGUGUCUUUUGCCUCUUUUCACAUUCAGCACUUAGCACAGUACCUGGCACAUAGACGGUACUUUUAAAAGCUUGUUGAUUAAUCAGUCAGUUCUGUAUACAGCUGCCAAAGUGCAGUCUGCCCUCAUGGCCACCUUUGCUAAAUAAACUCUAAUAGCGCAAGAUAUAAAUGCUAUAGUAGUUUAUUAUUUGAUAAAACACAAGGACUCCAGUUUCUCGGAGAAGAACUCACCAUUUGACAAAAACUGGAAAAUGGCAUGACCAAACAUCAUGAGAACACUAUGAAAUGUAAAAUGGC